rnacentral:rRNA from 1 species
GACGAACGCUGGCGGCGUGCUUAACACAUGCAAGUCGAACGGAAAGGCCCUGCUUUUGUGGGGUGCUCGAGUGGCGAACGGGUGAGUAACACGUGAGUAACCUGCCCUUGACUUUGGGAUAACUUCAGGAAACUGGGGCUAAUACCGGAUAGGAGCUCCUGCUGCAUGGUGGGGGUUGGAAAGUUUCGGCGGUUGGGGAUGGGCUCGCGGCUUAUCAGCUUGUUGGUGGGGUAGUGGCUUACCAAGGCUUUGACGGGUAGCCGGCCUGAGAGGGUGACCGGCCACAUUGGGACUGAGAUACGGCCCAGACUCCUACGGGAGGCAGCAGUGGGGAAUAUUGCACAAUGGGCGGAAGCCUGAUGCAGUAACGCCGCGUGCGGGAUGACGGCCUUCGGGUUGUAAACCGCUUUCGCCUGUGACGAAGCGUGAGUGACGGUAAUGGGUAAAGAAGCACCGGCUAACUACGUG